GGGUGAGUAGCUCAAUUGGCUAGAGCAGGUCCCUCUUAAGGACAAGGUUCGGGGUUCGAUUCCCCGCUUGCCCA
rnacentral:tRNA from 1 species